rfam:Sordaria macrospora k-hell, WGS project CABT02000000 data, contig: 2.57
GUGCAGUUGGCGCAGUGGUCAGCGCGUUCACUCCCAAAAACUCGGGUUCUGGAGGUGGCACCCUCGCAAUAAACCGCGGGUCUCUUGGUGGCUCUUGGGAUACAGUGAAGGGCCCCGGGUUCGAAUCCCGGACUGCACA